UAGCAAUCUAAAAUCAAAUAAUCGUGCUGAUCAAAGUAAACGAAACAAAGACGCUGUCAAAGUCGUGUCGGUCUUUCUCUAGUUAUCCGGGCGUCGUCACCGACGCAGACGCCGGUGGUUAACGUCUGUAACAAGCAUUUGUAUUUUCUUCCGACUUCCAUACUCUCUUCCAUAUCCCUAAAAGUUCGUAUAUUCAUCUCCCAGACAGUCUGUGAAGAGCUCAUCAUCAGGCUGCACUUGUAGAACAAGAUCAAGUGCAAGAGAAAGGGGGAGCCUGGUCGGAUCGAUCAAAAUUGGACGCAUUAGUUCUUAGUUGAUCGAUUAAAUGGCUUCUACGAAUGGCCUGGUCCCCAUUACCAGGGCUUUUCUUUCAUCUUACUACGAUAAAUACCCAUUUCCUCCCAUUGUGUCUGACGUUUCUCGUCUUUCUGAUGAGCUUCACAACAUGUCCAACGAGCUUUGCAAGGGUUCUCCUUUUCUCCCUGAAGGAGAAAGAUUAUUGCUACAAGAAGCGGAGUCCCAGCCACCACACAAAAUGGAUGAGAACAUGUGGAAGAACCGGGAGCAGAUCGAAGAAAUCAUUUUCUUGCUUGAAAGCUCUCAUUGGCCAAAAUCUCUUCAACAACAGUCCACACCAGAAGACAUUGAGCUUGCUCAAGUUCUUAAACAGCUGAAAGAAAAGUUUGAAGUCGCAUUAAAGCUGGUGGAAUCGUUUCAAACAAAAAAUUCUAGUAAUGUGUUCAACACAGUUAUGACCUACAUGCCACAAGAUUUCCGAGGUACACUAAUUAGACAACAAAGAGAGCGCUCAGAGAGAAAUAAGCAAGCUGAAGUUGAUGUUUUGGUAAACUCUGGUGGCAAUAUACGUGAUCGAUAUGCUCUGCUUUGGAAGCAACAAAUGGAAAGGAGAAGACAGUUAUCUCAGCUUGGUUCUGCAACAGGUGUCUACAAGACUCUUGUGAAAUAUUUAGUGGGAGUGCCACAGGUUCUACUGGAUUUUAUUCGGCAGAUAAAUGAUGAUCAUGGGCCCAUGGAGGAACAGCGUCAGCGUUAUGGACCUCCUCUGUAUGCCCUGACAAAAAUGGUGCUCAACAUUCACCUUUUUCUUUCGUUGUCUUGGUGGCGCUUUGAGGAUAUUAAACUGCAGAAGCAUCAAAUGUCCAUCUUGGAAGAAGCAGUUCAAGUCUAUGUUUCCGAGUUGGACAGAUUUCUGAAAUUCAUCGGGGAAGUCUUUGCAAAUUCUCCUUUUUUUGUUACUGCAGAGGAAGCUGGUGCAAUUGAAGGAAUUAAAACUGAUGGGUAUAGCGAAACAACUGUUACUGCAGGGAAAACUCAUGAGGUUUCAUUGAUGGUGGAAUCAGUAAACUCAUACAUUGCUUGGGAUUUCUCCAUAAUGCAAGGGAAAAUAAGCACGGAACCCAACUGCAGCGACCACCAACUCAGUUCAGGGGAUGACGUCCCUUUACUUGUUAUACUCUAAAAGGUCCGAAAGGUUGAUGAGGCUGUCAAAGACAGAUCAAAACUGUCAAGAGGCAAGAGAAGUAUUAAGGUUGUGAUUGGACAGGAGGUCCACACAGGGGUUAUGAGCUCUGGAAGAGCAGUGAGUCUAUAGGGAGCUUCAUUGAGGACUCAGAAGGAGGCCAGCUGUCCAGAAUUACGAGACGUGUUGUGAAUGUAUCACAAAGUACUUAAUGGAGCAUCAGAAGCUGUGCGGGAUUCUGAUGCUGAAGGUGUUGAGAGGCAUAAAGGGUCAAUGGUUGAUACAGGUUCUCAUGGUCAUACCGGAGGUCAAGGAGUCUCAUCAUCGUUUAGCAUGACCAAAUUAGCUCUGGAGUGACUUGCUGAAUAUCUCUGAAGGCACAAUGAGACACCAACAAUGGCCAACAGUAGUGGCGCUGGUCAGGAGCAUCUGAGAAGCUUAUCAGAGUUUUCGCUGUGUAAAUUCUUAGAGGUUCUGCUAUCUGGUUUGCACACAUCUACCCUUCACAAUAAACAUGGAAGCCACUACCGUAAAUACCUGUAAUUUGACAUUCAGUUUCAGGGUAUAUACUACAAAAUCCUGUCUUCAACAAAUGUUCAUGUCUGGCUCAUUGAACCAAUGGACUGCCGAAAGACUGCUAAAUGGAAUAAAAGACUUUUGCACGUUUAAUUAUCAUGAGACAUUGGGUUUUGCGUGGAGCACACAGAUUCUGCUGGGCAGAAGACACUUAUCUUGCCAUACCGACGGUACGAGUCUGAUCAAG